CUGGCGCAUAAGCAGUACUCCUUAAAGUUUGGCUAUUAUUUAAUAAAGCUGCCCUUUUUCUGGAUACUAAGGCACCUCUAUUUUGCAAGGGCUUUCUGUGUCCCAUGCCCAUCCUGACAGCUGUUUACAAGGAGAAAAUGUUACUUUUAACUGAUCUGGAAAGUCUCUACUUAGCUAACAAAAUCCACAACCAUGACAUUUAGAAAACUUUCUUGUUUUAUUUCAUCUUGGUGAUCCCUGGACUUUUAUAUAACUCACAGCCAAAGAAUGAAUAGCAUUAGUCUGGACUUUAAAAUUAGAUUGUGACGAGUAUGUUAUCACCUCAGAUAAUUUAAACUUCAGUGCCAAAUCUAAAAUUAAGCUUCCUAAGCUCUUGGAAAUCACUGUGAGACUGCAUUUUAGAGUUUGGAAUAGAUAAAUACAAGUCAACACAAAUGGUAAAAGUAUGAUUUACUUUGCUUGGUAAAGAUGAAAUUCUCGAAGUUUUGGUGCUGAGAGAAACCUGUAUAUGUAGAUAGAAAUCUUGUCUUCUAAAGAAGUGAAAGAAGAGCUGAGGGGAAACUGUUUCUCAGUGUUGGGCUGCAAAGAUCCUUGGACAGAAGGGAAGUCAGGCUUGGCAGACCAACUGGUAAGAUGUGUGGGAACCAUUAGAAGACUCUUCAGGUGGAGAUGGAUAGCAUGGAAGAUACAAGUUCACUGAGGCGUAAACAUUGUGGGCAUUUUGAACGGGAAAGAAUUUCCUGCAGAUGCGAAGGAAACAUGUCUUCCAGAUGGCAUAACGGCUUG
rnacentral:lncRNA from 1 species